AAGCUCGUAGUUGAAUUUCGGGAUUAAUUUAUUGGUCGUGCAAUAGUACGUACUGGUAUUAUUGAUCCCUACCUUCUGACGAACCAUGAUGUCAUUAAUUUGGUGUCAUGGGGAACCAGGACUGUUACUUUGAAAAAAUUAGAGUGUUUAAAGCAGGCUCACGCUUGAAUACAUUAGCAUGGAAUAACGAAAUAGGACGUUUGAUUCUAUUUUGUUGGUUUCUAGGAUCGACGUAAUGAUUAAUAGGGAUAGUUGGG
rnacentral:rRNA from 1 species